rnacentral:rRNA from 1 species
CCCUUAGAUGUCCUGGGCCGCACGCGCGCUACACUGACAUGUUCAACAAGCCUCCUAGUUCGACAGGAUUUGGGAAAUCUUUGAACGCAUGUCGUGAUAGGGAUAGAUCAUUGCAAUUAUUGAUCUUGAACGAGGAAUUCCUAGUAAACGCGAGUCAUCAGCUCGCAUUGAUUACGUCCCUGCCCUUUGUACACACCGCCCGUCGCACCUACCGAUUGAAUGUUUCGGUGAAGAUUCCGGAUAGGACUUUUUUGAUUUAUUUCAAUUUUGUCUUAAAAGCUAUCUAAACCGCAACAUUUAGAGGAAGGUGAAGUCGUAACA